ACACACACACACACAUUGUUUUAACAACUUUCCCAGUAAGAGUGAUUUCUCUUCGAUCUUUCUGCAUUUUCAUCUCAAUUGGUGUUCACAGUGGUUGUCACAACGUGGAGGGGCUUGACACAAGCUUACGUUUCUGACAACACAUGUACACACAUCAGGGCAGAAAUCGUAAGAAAUUAUCCAGGCUGGAAAUGCAAAAAUAUGGGAAUUGGAAAUUUAACAACUUUUUAUAUAUAUAUAUAUAUA